GGAGUCUGACAGGAGAUAGAGAGAGAGAGAGAGAGUCUGGGGUCUGACAGAGGAGAGAGAGAGAGAGUCUGGGGUCUGACAGGAGAGAGAGAGAGUCUGGGGUCUGACAGGAGAGAGAGAGAGUCUGGGGUCUGACAGAGGAGAGAGAGAGAGUCUGGGGUCUGACAGAGGAGAGAGAGAGAGUCUGGGGUCUGACAGAGGAGAGAGAGAGAGUCUGGGGUCUGACAGAGGUGAGAGAGAGAGAGAGUCUGAGGUCUGACAGAAGAGAGAGAGAGAGAGAGUCUGGGGUCUGACAGAGGAGAGAGAGAGAGUCUGGGGUCUGACAGAGGCGAGAGAGAGAGAGUGGGGUCUGACAGAAGAGGGAGAGAGAGUCUGGGGUCUGACAGAGGAGAGAGAGAGAGAGAGUCUGGGGUCUGACAGAGGAGAGAGAGAGAGAGAAAGUCUGGAGUCUGACAGAAGAGAGAGAGAAGGAGAGAGAGAGAGUCUGGGGUCUGACAGAAGAGAGAGAGAAGGAGAGAGAGAGAGUCUGGGGUCUGACAGAGGAGAGAGAGAGAGAGAGUCUGGGGUGCAACAGAGGAGAGAGAGAGAGAGAGAGUCUGGGGUCUGACAGAAGAGAGAGAGAGAGAGUCUGGGGUCUGACAGAAGAGAGAGAGAGAGAGAGAGAGUCUGGGGUCUGACAGAGGAGAGAGAGAGUCUGGAGUCUGACAGAAGAGAGAGAGAGAGUCUGGGAGAGAGUCUGGGGUCUGACAGAGGAGAGAGAGAGAGAGUCUGGAAUCUGACAGAGGAGAGAGACAGAGAGAGAGAGAGAGAGAGUCUGGGGUCUGACAGAGGAGAGAGAGAGUCUGGAGUCUGACAGAGGAGAGAGAGAGAGAGAGUCUGGGGUCUGACAGAGGAGAGAGAGAGAGAGUCUGGGGUCUGACAGAGGAGAGAGAGAGAGAGAGAAAUUCUGGGGUCUGACAGAGGAGAGAGAGAGAGUCUGGAGUCUGCCAGAGGAGAGAGAGAUAGAGAGAGAGUC
rnacentral:lncRNA from 1 species